AAACCAACAGGGAUUGCCUUAGUAGCGGCGAGUGAAGCGGCAAAAGCUCAAAUUUGAAAUCUGGCUCUUUCAGAGUCCGAGUUGUAAUUUGAAGAAGGUAUCUUUGGGUCUGGCUCUUGUCUAUGUUUCUUGGAACAGAACGUCACAGAGGGUGAGAAUCCCGUGCGAUGAGAUGAUCCAGGCCUAUGUAAAGUUCCUUCGAAGAGUCGAGUUGUUUGGGAAUGCAGCUCUAAGUGGGUGGUAAAUUCCAUCUAAAGCUAAAUAUUGGCGAGAGACCGAUAGCGAACAAGUACAGUGAUGGAAAGAUGAAAAGAACUUUGAAAAGAGAGUGAAAAAGUACGUGAAAUUGUUGAAAGGGAAGGGCUUGAGAUCAGACUUGGUAUUUUGUAUGUUACUUCUUCGGGGGUGGCCUCUACAGUUUAUCGGGCCAGCAUCAGUUUGGGCGGUAGGAGAAUUGCGUUGGAAUGUGGCACGGCUUCGGUUGUGUGUUAUAGCCUUCGUCGAUACUGCCAGCCUAGACUGAGGACUGCGGUUUAUACCUAGGAUGUUGGCAUAAUGAUCUUAAGUCGCCCGUCUG
rnacentral:rRNA from 1 species